rnacentral:misc_RNA from 1 species
GAAAUGCGAUAAGUAGUGUGAAUUGCAGAAUUCAGUGAAUCAUCGAAUCUUUGAACGCACAUUGCGCCCCUUGGUAUUCCAUGGGGCAUGCCUGUUCGAGCGUCAUUUGUACCCUCAAGCUCUGCUUGGUGUUGGGUGUUUGUCCCCGUCUCCGCGCGUGGACUCGCCCCAAAGUGAUUGGCAGCCGGCGUACUGGUCCCGGAGCGCAGCACAUGUCGCGCAAACGAGUGCCUUGGUACGGCGGCGUCGACCCGAUGAGCCCGAGCGUAUGGGGACUUUUGUCACACGUUUGCGGUGCGGACCGGCGCCUGCUUGACUUUUCUGAUUAUCCAGGUUGACCUCGGAUCAGGUAGGGAUACCCGCUGAACUUAAGC